UUAAGUACUGUGUUUUCCUCUCCUUUUAUUUUGCUUCCUCCACUCUGCCUAUACUAAGUCUAAAGUAGAUACAAGGGGAAGUGAAUUGCUGGACUGCAAAACCAUGAAUGUAUGUAUGUGGGGGUGGGGGGGACCCACAGGCAAUGAAAGAGUUACAGUCACCCUGAGAGGCCAGUUAUGCUACCUGACUGUGCCUGGAGGGUGCAUCAGGCUUAAUUAAAGAUGAAGUCCAGCUAGAGAAAAGCUAGGUGAUGACCAUAAAGAAAGGAAGCACAGAUUAGAAGUUUGCAGGGAGAGAGGAAAAGGAACUCUGCAGCCACUCUCUGAGUAGUAGAGAGUAGAACCUGGAGAAAUACUGAGAAGCUAUCAGGGUGAGGCACAUUCUAGCGGUGUGCCUGAGAGAAGACCAAUCGAGAGAUGGCCUUGGAAGUAAACAGAAGUGGAGGAUAAAGGCUAGAGACAAGACUCUAGGGAGGUAACUCUCUGAGUGUCGGGAAGGGGACAGACGUUCCUUUUGUUGUGUUUUUGUUUUGCUUUUAAGUUGGUUAAAAGACUCCAUGGCCACUACUCUGUCAGAAGAGAGGAAUGGAAGAAAAGCCUUGGAGAGGUAGAAGAUGUCAUAUCAAUGACCAAUGUCAUGUGAGACAGUGGAACACUCUCCACUUAUGACACUGAUACCCCAGAAGGGGUGGAACUAAAAUGUGACCUGAUUGGAGGGCCAAGUAUGAGAAGAGCCAGACCACUGCAGAGCCAGAGCAGAUGUUAGAGGAUGACAACCUUUUACGGCACACCUAGCCACAAGGGAUCACUCCAGUGAUUUGGAGGAUUUGGACUUCAUGCUUUGAAGCUUUUCUCUGCAACCAUAAGGGCAAGAAACUUUUUUUAAAAAUGACAGCUGGAUUCUCACUAAUCAUGACUCCAGGAAUAGGGGCAUUUAGAAAAACACCUGCUAUCACAAGACUCAUGAACCCUCUGCACUGGUUGUGUCAAUUUCCUAUCAUUGCCAGAGCAACAUCUGAAAAGCAUCUGAGCUUCCUUUUUCUAGAAACCACACACCCAUCCCAUUAGCAAAAUGAAGUCUGGGAACAUCCAAAAACACAUGUCCACAUGAUUGUCUUCUUGACAAGAGAGAAUGAGACAAAAGCAAGUUGAAUGAAAACAAAAUGUUCUUUGGAUUGCUUGACAGAAGUUCGUUUUGUUGAUUUCAUUGCUAUUACAUUUGCCAAGCUCAAGGCAACAUUCUUGUUAUAGCUGCUAAGUUCACAAACUGAAUGAAGAUUUACUUUGUGAUACCACACAUGUUGAUUAAAUACACACGUGUAUGUUAUAUCUUCCUGAAUAUCAAAGAUAUCUUACUUUAUAUGUUAUUAUCUGACCAAUACCCACAUUUUUUGCAUAAUCAGGCAGUUUAUUAAUCAGGCCAGCACACAUGCCACCUUUCUCCACUACUUGUCUGUUAUGAAUAAAACUAGAUAGAAGAAGAUGGCUCUCUUCU